rnacentral:rRNA from 1 species
GACGAACGCUGGCGGCGUGCUUAACACAUGCAAGUCGAACGAAGUGGCGAACGGGUGAGUAACGCGUAAUCAACCUGCCCUUCAGCGGGGGACAAAAGUUGGAAACGACUGCUAAUACCGCAUACUGAAGGAGGGGAUUGCGGCUGAUUAGGUAGGUGGAGGGGUAACGGCCCACCAAGGCGAUGAUUAGUAGCCUGGCUGAGAGGAGGAACGGCCACAUUGGGACUGAGACACGGCCCAGACUUCUACGGGAGGCAGCAGUGGGGAAUCUUCCGCAAUGGGCGAAAGUCUGACGGAGCAACGCCGGGUGAGUGAUGACGGCCUUCGGGUUGUAAAGCUCUGUUAAUCGGGACGCGGUACCGGAAUAGAAAGCCACGGCUAACUACGUGCCAGCAGCCGCGGUAAUAC